rnacentral:rRNA from 1 species
AUGCAUGGCGCGGCUAUACAUGCAGUCGAGCGAACAGAUAAGGAGCUUGCUCCUUUGACGUUAGCGGCGGACGGGUGAGUAACACGUGGGUAACCUACCUAUAAGACUGGGAUAACUUCGGGAAACCGGAGCUAAUACCGGAUAAUAUUUCGAACCGCAUGGUUCGAUAGUGAAAGAUGGUUUUGCUAUCACUUAUAGAUGGACCCGCGCCGUAUUAGCUAGUUGGUAAGGUAACGGCUUACCAAGGCGACGAUACGUAGCCGACCUGAGAGGGUGAUCGGCCACACUGGAACUGAGACACGGUCCAGACUCCUACGGGAGGCAGCAGUAGGGAAUCUUCCGCAAUGGGCGAAAGCCUGACGGAGCAACGCCGCGUGAGUGAUGAAGGUCUUCGGAUCGUAAAACUCUGUUAUUAGGGAAGAACAUACGUGUAAGUAACUAUGCACGUCUUGACGGUACCUAAUCAGAAAGCCACGGCUAACUACGUGCCAGCAGCCGCGGUAAUACGUAGGUGGCAAGCGUUAUCCGGAAUUAUUGGGCGUAAAGCGCGCGUAGGCGGUUUUUUAAGUCUGAUGUGAAAGCCCACGGCUCAACCGUGGAGGGUCAUUGGAAACUGGAAAACUUGAGUGCAGAAGAGGAAAGUGGAAUUCCAUGUGUAGCGGUGAAAUGCGCAGAGAUAUGGAGGAACACCAGUGGCGAAGGCGACUUUCUGGUCUGUAACUGACGCUGAUGUGCGAAAGCGUGGGGAUCAAACAGGAUUAGAUACCCUGGUAGUCCACGCUGUAAACGAUGAGUGCUAAGUGUUAGGUGGUUUCCGCCCCUUAGUGCUGCAGCUAACGCAUUAAGCACUCCGCCUGGGGAGUACGACCGCAAGUUGAAACUCAAAGGUAAUAGACCGGGAACCGCAGAUCAGGUGUAGCAUGUGCUUAAAUUCGAACCACGCGUAGAAUCCUACCAACC